GUGAGUCAAUAUUUUGAUCGUAUUCACGACAAAGCCAAAGAUUCUUUUAUUAUUUACGAUAUAGAUAUAAACUCUAUCAGCUGAUCAAUCGGUGUAAUACAUUAUAUCUAAAUACUUGCUAUCUAUAUAAAAUCAUUAUAGCAAACAAUUACCUUCUUCAUCCAGAUUAUCAGCAACUAAAUGAAAUAGUCAGACACACAUAUGCAAUGAAGUAAGACGAUAAAAAUAUGUUGCAAGGCUUGCAUAAUUCAAUAUCCGAUAUAAAUAUUGUGACCAAAUACGACUGCACGAUGUUCAUCACAAACGAUCUGUCAUGUUUUACGCAAGACAUAGACCAUCUUAUGACGGAAGACGCAAUGCUUCGUUCCACCGAAUUUCUAACGGGUAACCUCUUUCGAAAGGAAAGUUCGAUCGGUACAUCGAUCCAGUCAUCGAAACGAACGACAGGCGGCUCUGAAUUCAACUCGAGAGAUCGCAGGAUCCAUCUCGUGGCCAUAUGUGUGAUGAGAGGAGCAGGUCACUGACACCGAACGGCAAUGGAUUGACGCGGCGAGGUCAAGUCCUAUGUGCGCUGUCGACAAUACUUCACGUUUAAAGGUAUCACCAAACAUUCCUUGCGGGAUAUCGCGUUACUUACGCCGAUACGGAACCAUGAUCAAUCGUCCGAACCCAGUCUCUGACUAUACAACGAAAGAUUCAAGUCGUAAAUCGUUGCGGAAGGUACAAAUGGUGUAGCUUAUGGUGGUAAACAACAUAGCUGUAAUACGUCUAUUUUGGAAGGAAAGAAAAGUGUUUCGAACGUUGUUCUUCUUUAAUUUAUGCCGAAACGUAUAGUUUGUGGUCUGUCAUAUUUGAAUUAAUAAUUGCGUAGAAUUGACAACUAAUCAAAGCCUACGUUCGAUGCGCGCGCAACAUUACCUACUUAGGAAGUGCUUGGAAAAAUAUACUUACAAAACUAGUUUUUCUAGUUAACAUUAAUUUUUCAAUUUAUGAACAACAGGUUUAUAUUACACGUUGCUGUCAUUCAUUAAAUCAGCUCUCAUAUGAUAUCGUAGUUGCUCAUGUCUGAGGUGUCACGUACAUAUUCAGAUAUUUCCUACACUCAUCUUUUGAUGAGUAUAAUAUUUUUAUUAUACUCGUCAGAUGUGUCCUUUUAUUUACAUAAUUUAAUUUCUCUAUCUAGUUUUUUCUAUUUGACUGAAGAGCAAAAAUUUCCAAAUCCUAUUUCUAUUAUUUCUAAUUAUUCAAAAUAAUAAUUCUAAGGAUUUUUAAAAUCGAGGAUGCUGAUGAUUUCAUAAAGUGAUUUCUUAUGAAUUAUGUAUGAUAUAUACUUAGUGAAAAACUCAUAAUAAUACAUAAGAUACAUAUUUCAUAAAAUUAUCAAAGAAUGAUGAUAUGAUAUACAAUGAAUUAACGCUGAAUAGUAAAUAGAUAAUUACACUCCUCUACAAACAUUAGCCAGGUUGGUAUUGUAAAAUGGAGUACGAGUUACGUACGUAUACACAAUACACAAUGUAGUGAUUUUUACAGCAACCGCUUCUCAGAGCAUCUUUCAGUGUCAGAGUGGGAAAUAUACAAAUGAAUUCCUAGCAUGAGAACGAAAAUAACGGCACUUACUAUUAAAAUAGAGGUUAGUAAUCAAUUAUCGAAGCACCUUGAAGAAGACUUAUUUAAUUUUUUCCCUCUUUUUCAAUAUCACGGAAUAAUUUCGAUAUGUAUGGUAAAUAUUUUUAUAUCGUAAGAUAUGCGAAUAUGUUGCGUUUCUACUUCUAUUUUAAUGAUAUUUUUCCGAUUUCAUACUAAAAUGUAGGAACGUUAUUAAAUAACUAAUUAAAUCUUAGUAGAAAGUAAAUUAAUGGUUUCAUUUUAUCCCGAUUAGAUAGACAUCAAAUGUUACCUGAAUAUCAAAUACUACAUACAAGGAUUGAUUAAUAGAAUAAUAGAAUAACACCAUAAAAUAAUAGAAUAAUACCUAAAUAGUAGAAUAAUACUAUUAUUCACACAGAUUUUGUUAAAGCAAAAAUAAAACAGUUUACAACAACUUGCUCGAUUAGGUAAUAUUUUAUCCAUGUAACUGUAAUUCGUAGAAAAUAUGUAUUUUCUCUCAAGUUUGUAAACUAUUUAUGGAAAUUUUCAAAUAUCUACAUUACUACUAGAUAUUAUACUAUUAUAUUGUUACCUAAUACUAGAUUUUAGUAACUUCUACUUUUCAAACUUGACCAUUGUGAAAAAGCUCGUCAAAAACACAGAAUAACAUUUCGAAAUUUCGCCUUCCAAGUGAUGUGAUAUUAUUCUGUAAUUCUAUUGCUAACUGAUUGAGUUCUCUUCCUAAAAGUAACACUCUUAAUAUCAUUAACUUUGACAGCAAGUUCUGAUGAAAUGAUGAGCUUCUCCGAGCUUCUCUGUUUCCUUCAAAGCAAUAUCCGACUCCGAAGAACUAAUAUGAACUUUUCUUUGAUUAUUAAUGUAUUUGAAAAUUGUAUCACAUCCCAAUGAUCAUUAUCCCGAACGAUUGUUACUUUGCAUUACAAAUCGAUUUAUCUAUAAUAGACAUUUAGAAAUGGUGAAAUAUCCUCAUUACAUAUAUUGUAUGUAAGUAUAUGCUUCAUUUCUGGGCAAACGGUUGACGACCGCAUGAAUUGUUCUAAUUAAGUUGAUCAGAUCCAAUUAAAGACUCUUUAUGCCCCUUCGCAGCUAAUUCCUCCCUUCUUCGAUUAAAAGGAGACAGAUGUACUUGUAUCAAUUAAUUAUUUUUUCAGUUAUGAAUGAAUUUUUGAUAAGAGAAUCUAGAAAUACUUACAUUUACACAGAUGUUUUAUUGUUGAGUUCCCUAAAUUUUAUCAGAAAAUUUUUCGUUAAAUUAUCAAUAGCAUAUAAUAAAUGGUAAAGGCAACAAUUAUGUAAAAAUCUGAGGUAACAGUAAACGUUUUCGCUAAAUAUGUAUGUCAGGCUGACUAAAAUCUCCCACAUAUAUUUCAACGCGAAACAAACACAAUCCUUUCACUUAUCACUUCCUGAAAUCUGAUUUCAGUUUUACCUUAGUUCUAAAUUUCUGCAAAAUUAAUACUAAGUUUCAGCGUGUGUACACAAGUUACACGUUAUAAAUAUCCCAAAUAACAUUCUUGAUUGGACAUUUCGCUGAAGCUGAAAGAUUUCAUACUCGAAAUUUAAAUACGGAUGAGAAAUCAUUAUGCAGAAAUUAAUUGUGCUUUCACUGUGCUGUACAUAAUCUGUUUUUCUUCACUUAUUACUAUAUUAGCUGCCCGUGCGCGACUUUACCCGCUUAGUAUUUAUUUUUAUGACAAUUUAUGUUUAUUAUUCUCUGUUUGAACACCAUUUAAGAGUUGAAUUUCGAAAAACGGUCGGAAACGCAUUUGUUUAUUUGUAAUGAGGAGUUUGUUUGCUGAUUUUCACAUUCCCAAUUUUAAUAACUCAUUGGAUAAGGAGUUUAUCCUGUUUUUACUCCUUUAAGGUCCAUAU